rnacentral:rRNA from 1 species
UACAGAGGGGGCAAGCGUUGUUCGGAAUUACUGGGCGUAAAGGGCGCGUAGGCGGCCUGCUAAGUCGAACGUGAAAUCCCCGGGCUCAACCCGGGAACUGCGUCCGAUACUGGUUGGCUUGAAUCCGGGAGAGGGAUGCGGAAUUCCAGGUGUAGCGGUGAAAUGCGUAGAUAUCUGGAGGAACACCGGUGGCGAAGGCGGCAUCCUGGACCGGCAUUGACGCUGAGGCGCGAAAGCGUGGGGAGCAAACAGG